rnacentral:lncRNA from 1 species
CCUAAACCUCCCCUGUCUCAGUUUAAGACCGUACCCUGUUGUCCUAUCAUCCACCCUCGUAAACCCCCCUGUUCCCCUUCCUGUUUAUAUGCUCCCAUCAAGUAUUGGAAGGCCAUGAUGAGGUCUACGCAGAGCCUUCUCUUCUCCAAGCUAACUUUCCUGAUGUUUGCUGUUUCUCAGAGAGAAGCUGCUGACGGCUGGUUUCUGGUGAGGAGGGUGAUCGGAAUGAAGAUGCAACAGGAGUGCUCACACAGAACAGAUUCACGCCAGCUGCAACUUUCCAGAUGAGAGCAGGAACCACAUCAGGGCACUCGUGAAGGGACGGAACACUGGACCUGAGCUUGGCUGAGGUCAUUGGCAGCGCUGGAUGCACAGGAGCUAGGCUAGUAGGGAGCCAGGAGGGCACAGGAUACUCUUGCUUCAUCACUUCACCAUACAGUGGGGAG